rnacentral:rRNA from 1 species
AUUGAACGCUGGCGGCAUGCCUUACACAUGCAAGUCGAACGGUAACGCGGGGCAACCUGGCGACGAGUGGCGAACGGGUGAGUAAUGUAUCGGAACGUGCCCAGUUGUGGGGGAUAACUGCUCGAAAGAGCAGCUAAUACCGCAUACGACCUGAGGGUGAAAGCGGGGGAUCGCAAGACCUCGCGCAAUUGGAGCGGCCGAUAUCAGAUUAGGUAGUUGGUGGGGUAAAGGCUCACCAAGCCAACGAUCUGUAGCUGGUCUGAGAGGACGACCAGCCACACUGGGACUGAGACACGGCCCAGACGCCUACGGGAGGCAGCAGUGGGGAAUUUUGGACAAUGGACGCAAGUCUGAUCCAGCCAUGCCGCGUGCGGGAAGAAGGCCUUCGGGUUGUAAACCGCUUUUGUCAGGGAAGAAACGCUCUGGGUUAAUACCUCGGGGUAAUGACGGUACCUGAAGAAUAAGCACCGGCUAACUACGUGCCAGCAGCCGCCGCCGUAA